UACGUAGGCAGCAAGCGUUGUUCGGAGUUACUGGGCGUAAAGGGUGCGUAGGCGGCUUUUUAAGUUUGGUGUGAAAUCUCCCGGCUCAACUGGGAGGGUGCGCCGAAUACUGAGAGGCUAGAGUGUGGGAGAGGAAAGUGGAAUUCCUGGUGUAGCGGUGAAAUGCGUAGCUAUCAGGAGGAACACCGGUGGUGUAAACGCUUUCUGGACCAUAACUGACGCUGAGGCACGAAAGCGUGGGUAGCAAACAGG
rnacentral:rRNA from 1 species